UACGAAGGGGGCUAGCGUUGCUCGGAAUCACUGGGCGUAAAGCGCACGUAGGCGGACUCUUAAGUCGGUGGUGAAAUCCUGGAGCUCAACUCCAGAACUGCCUUCGAUACUGGGAGUCUCGAGUUCGGGAGAGGUGAGUGGAACUGCGAGUGUAGAGGUGAAAUUCGUAGAUAUCUGGAGGAACACCGGUGGCGAAGGCGGCAUCCUGGACCGGCAUUGACGCUGAGGCGCGAAAGCUAGGGGAGCAAACGGG
rnacentral:rRNA from 1 species